GAGUUUGAUCAUGGCUCAGAUUGAACGCUGGCGGCAUGCCUUACACAUGCAAGUCGAACGGCAGCACGGGUGCUUGCACCUGGUGGCGAGUGGCGAACGGGUGAGUAAUACAUCGGAACGUACCUUAUCGUGGGGGAUAACGCAGCGAAAGUUGCGCUAAUACCGCAUACGCCCUGAGGGGGAAAGCGGGGGACCGUAAGGCCUCGCGCGAUUAGAGCGGCCAAUGUCUGAUUAGCUUGUUGGUGAGGUAAAAGCUCACCAAGGCGAUGAUCAGUAGCUGGUCUGAGAGGACGAUCAGCCACACUGGGACUGAGACACGGCCCAGACUCCUACGGGAGGCAGCAGUGGGGAAUUUUGGACAAUGGGGGCAACCCUGAUCCAGCAAUGCCGCGUGAGUGAAGAAGGCCUUCGGGUUGUAAAGCUCUUUUGUCAGGGAAGAAACAGCAGCUCUAACACAGUCUGCGAAUGACGGUACCUGAAGAAUAAGCACCGGCUAACUACGUGCCAGCAGCCGCGGUAAUACGUAGGGUGCGAGCGUUAAUCGGAAUUACUGGGCGUAAAGCGUGCGCAGGCGGUUAUACAAGACAGGCGUGAAAUCCCCGGGCUCAACCUGGGAAUGGCGUCUGUGACUGUAUAGCUAGA
rnacentral:rRNA from 1 species